rnacentral:rRNA from 1 species
UACAGAGGUCUCAAGCGUUGUUCGGAUUCAUUGGGCGUAAAGGGUGCGUAGGCGGCGCGGUAAGUCGGGUGUGAAAUCUCGGAGCUUAACUCCGAAACUGCAUUCGAUACUGCCGUGCUUGAGGACUGGAGAGGAGACUGGAAUUUACGGUGUAGCGGUGAAAUGCGUAGAUAUCUGGAGGAACACCGGUGGCGAAGGCGGCAUCCUGGACCGGCAUUGACGCUGGGGCGCGAAAGCCAGGGGAGCAAACGGG